AUUUAUAUUGCAAAUGUUGGAAACUGAAAACAUUUCAGUUGUAUUUUUUAACUAGAAGUUUCAAAAUUAAAGUGCACUAUCCUGUUUCCAAAUCUGUGGAGUUUAGAUUUAAAACUAUGUGCGGCGGUUUCGGUUGUGGCAGCUAUGGCUAUGGACCUUCUGGACCCUGCGGGCCUUGGUUCGGUGGAGCAUAUUAUGGAUGCAGCCGUUCAUCCUACUGCGGCUACUCCGGCUGCUAUGGACCACGGGGCUGUGGACCAUGCGGUCCAGCAUGCUGGCCCUAUGGCCUGUAUACUUGCUAAACUUCAGAAAGAUUUCGGGAAUCAAUAAUCAAACCGUUGAUGGAUAAUGAACGUAAAGCACCUUCAGUGUGCCCUUUGAUUAAAUUGAAGCAUUUUUUAGCUUAAACAGAGAAAACACAUACUAAAUUCAUUAGUUACGAUGACUGUGCUUAAAGCAUAAACCCAUUAGGAUUUUAAUUGGCGGCUGCAAAGUUCUGGCGCAUUUCAAUCGCAUACAAUUGAAGUAUUGCUACCUACAACGAAUGUUGACGCGAAAAAUUUAUAUUAUUAAAAAUUUGCUGCAAGUAACUCGUUCAAA